ACCCCGACCCCAUUUCCCAACCUACUCAGUCCGCCAUCAUGACAACUGUGACAGCUGGAAUGGAGGAAAAUAACUUGAUCAGUGUGCCCAAGGCUACUUUGAUCUCUCUCCUAACCAAGGCAGAGUCCUCCCAACGGCCCCAGGGCGGCCAGGCGUCAGUCCCUCAGAUCCUGCAGCCUUUCCAGACUCCCAGCUCCGCUAUCACCAAUCACGCAGCAUUCUCGACCCCAGGGGCUGGCCUGAGCUACCCACACGCGGGUCAGUGGCCUAUCAUGCCCCCUUGGAGCCCCUAUUGUCCACCAGCUUACCCUCUUCAGGCUUCAGAGGGUGCUCCUCAAAGUGGGCCAUAUUGGCCACCAAUGUACUCCUACGGCCAUCGAGAUGAAGCGAGGGCAGGAAAAAGGAAAAGGGAAUGUGAGGAGGAGGACCAAGUCUCAUUUCCAGGGGAAACCAGCAAGAGAGGCCUCUACAGUGAGCUCUUGUCCAUGGCUGGCAGCAUUGCCUCUCUGAAGAGCGAACUACAGAGUUUGAAACAGUCUCUGCCAGCUUGCGCCCCGCCAUCCACUCCAGCCUCAGCAUAUUAUCCCGAAGCCGGAAGCCUGCUACAAUAUCCGGGUCGUCAUAUCAACCCUCAACAGUGCUACAUGUCGCACCCUUCCCCUGCACCCCUUCCAGCUGCGAGUCCCGCCGGGGCGGCCGCCGCGCCUCCACCCACGGUGGUAGAAAGUGUCCCUCGACCACCAGAAACAGUUCCAACGGUCCCUGUAGCCCAAAGUGUGGAGCGGGAACCAGAUGCUCUGGUGACUACCAAAAAGACAGUUCCUGCCAAAAGAGUAGAUGCCAGCAAACUGGCCAACCACGAGAAGAGCAAAGUACAGCAGCUCUUUUGCGAAGAGCUCUCCAAAUAACACGAGGGGUAUUAUUGUAAAAGGGUUGCGUGUGUCAAUAAAAUGUUUGUGCUUGGUGCAAC
rnacentral:tmRNA from 1 species